CAUGAUGAUUUUUUGUUUCCGGAAGGGGACCUGCGGAACGAUCAUU
rnacentral:rRNA from 1 species